UUAGUUUUUGAAGUAUGGCCUGCCCGCUGACGUUGAGUUGAAGGGCCGCGGUAUUUUGACCGUGCAAAGGUAGCAUAAUCAUUAGUUCUUUAAUUGUGAUCUGGAAUGAAUGGCUUGACGAGACACAAGCUGUCUUAAUGUUGAAUGUUUUAUUGAAUUUGGUCUUUGAGUUAAAAUUCUUAGAUGUUUUUAUGGGACGAGAAGACCCUAUAGAGUUUAACAUUUGGUUUACUUAUUUGUUGUUGUUUGUUUGUUUUGUUGGUAAGUGGACUUUUUGUUUUGUUGGGGUGAUGAGAGGAAUGAUUUAACUCCUCUUGGUUUUGGUUAUAUUGAUUUAUAUUUAUUUGAUCCAUUUAUUUUGAUUAUAAGACUAAAUUACCUUAGGGAUAACAGCGUUAUCUUCCUUGAGAGUUCUUAUCGGCAGGGGGGUUUGCGACCUCGAUGUUGGAUUAAG
rnacentral:rRNA from 2 species